AACGAACGCUGGCGGCAGGCCUAACACAUGCAAGUCGAACGCACCGCAAGGUGAGUGGCGCACGGGUGAGUAACACGUGGGAAUGUACCCUUUGGUUCGGAAUAACGUUUGGAAACGAACGCUAAUACCGGAUGAGCCCUGUGGGGGAAAGAUUUAUCGCCAAAGGAGCAGCCCGCGUCUGAUUAGCUAGUUGGUGGGGUAAAGGCCUACCAAGGCGACGAUCAGUAGCUGGUCUGAGAGGAUGAUCAGCCACACUGGGACUGAGACACGGCCCAGACUCCUACGGGAGGCAGCAGUGGGGAAUAUUGGACAAUGGGCGGAAGCCUGAUCCAGCCAUGCCGCGUGAGUGAUGAAGGCCUUCGGUUGUAAAGCUCUUUCGCACGCGACGAUGAUGACGGUAGCGUGAGAAGAAGCCCCGGCUAACUUCGUGCCAGCAGCCGCGGUAAU
rnacentral:rRNA from 1 species